UGGGUUUGACAUGCACAGGACGCAUCCAGAGAUGGGUGUUCCCUUGUGGCCUGUGUGCAGGUGGUGCAUGGCUGUCGUCAGCUCGUGUCGUGAGAUGUUGGGUUAAGUCCCGCAACGAGCGCAACCCUCGUUCCAUGUUGCCAGCGGGUUAUGCCGGGGACUCAUGGGAGACUGCCGGGGUCAACUCGGAGGAAGGUGGGGAUGACGUUGACGUCAUAACC
rnacentral:misc_RNA from 1 species